UUUAAAAAGAAGAGAACUGCCAAAAACUUGGAUCUUGGGGAGCCAAGGGAGAGCUAGUGGGGAAGGCCUCACUCUCGUUCUGGUGCACGAUAUUUGGCUCAGCUACAGACUCACUGGGGUGGACAUCUCUUCGUUCAGACUCCUAGGAGAAUCGGAUUUGCUCCUCCUCGCUCUGGAGCCAGUAGCCUCCUGGGUCCUCCUCAGGGGAGAUUCUGUUAGCAGGGGUUUGGGCACCAGGCUGCUGACUCCUGUUCUGUGAACCUGGCUCAUGGCCUUUCAGCCUGUUCAGGGCCUUUGGUCAGCGAAGUGAACAUCUACACAAGAGUGUCCCUGUGCUCUAGGGUCCUGGGAACUGACCAGAUGUUGACGCUGUCUUCUGGCUAUAAUACAAAGCUUUUACCUCCUGAUAAGAGUUCGGAUGCUAUCUGAAAGCUGACAUAGGAGGAAACUGAGACCCCAAGAGGUCACCUGACUUCCGGCAGUUGUGAUGAGGCCAGGAUUUCAGCCGUCUUGCCAUCCUGCUGAGGCUGCAGUUACAGGCGUGAGCGAGGCCUCAGCCACUGCUGUCCCAUGGAGCUGCAGCCCCAGGGCUCACACAAGUCAAGCGUCCUCUCCUGUGUGGCUUCUCAGGAUCAGGGUGGCUGUGGCCUUAAGUGAGAUAAGGAAUCCUAGAAGGGUGCUGAACACGUGGCCAAGCUCUGCGGGGGGCCCGAAGGAGUAGACAACGGUGGGCUUCCGGAAGCUUCCGCUCUCUUUGAGGUGACAAGACACACUCUGAAAGCAGAAAACCACCGUGCGCACAUUUCAGCGGAGGAAGCUGUGUGGAGGUAAUCUGUGGCUCACUUUGUUUGCUCCCCAGAACUAGUGCUCAAAAAUUAGUUGCUGAGGGAGGGCGGGAUGAAUAUUUGGGUUUCCUUUUCUUGGCCUCUAGGCAUAAAACCGAUGAGAAAAGUGGAGAAAUGGUUCUUCUGAAGUUCCAGCGCUUUCGCUCUUCUCAUCAGUGUGCCAGAUGCAGGUUCAGAAAGUAAAACAAAGGUGCUCUCGAGAGAUCUGGACACGGGGUGUUUACUUCCGGCCAUGGAGGGUUCCUCACCCUCUCCAGACACAGGAGGGCGAGGCUGGAGAGGAGGAAGACAGGGAGCUUUCACAGCCCACCCCCCAGACAAUGGGAGGUAGCGGCACAAAUAAACCUGUAUUUGGAGCUUUUAGCAAGGCCUCCCGGGAUGACUCACACAGCAAGGGCUGGCAGAUGUCUCCUCGGAAGGGUAGGUGGCCAGUGAAGCGUCCCUCACGUGUUUGCCUGUCAGCCUCGCCGAGGUGAGCAUCUUUAGCUCUUCAAUAAAUUGUCCCUCUGUGGCAGUAGCGGCUGAGCGCUCCCGACGUCAUCUGCGGGAGCCUCAUUUGGUUUUAAUGGGGAUGCGUUUCUGGCUGAGAAACUCACAUGCCCGUCCCGGCUGUGACAUUCAUUUUGCUGCGGUCAGCCCACACACCUGUGUCUCCAGGCAAAGCCAAGUGCGCCCGUUCAGGUAGGCGCUGACAAACGGCCAGGCCCUGUCUCUCUCCGCUGUUCCGUUCUCUCCUCCCUGCUGCUGUGUCUCUGGGUUCCCCUGAUUUUUAGCACAUGUGCUGAGUGUCUAGAGGCUGGCGGUUGAGGGUGGUUACCUCCAGAACACGAGCCUGUCACCUUUUCUGAAUAUUUUCAGUGCUGAAGCAUACAUAGCCCAACACAUGGCUGGAGAUGAAUGGAUAUUCCAUAUGUAGGUGAUUCCGGAUUUAUUCUCCGACAUGAAUUCGGUGAUUGUAAAUGUCACAGCCUCACACUGGCUUUAAAUAUGUUCAUGACUUCAGAGUCCACGGGAAUUUGAAUUUCAAGAGCUCGUUAUUUCUCUUUCCAGGAAGAAAAACAAACAAACAUCCAGAUGUAAUAACAUCUGGGUUUGUGCGAUGCCCGACUCAGUCACGUCGGACACGAACCCUCUCCGAUACCCACCAGCCCCUUUCUUGUUGGGGAAAGAGUGUAAUCUGGUAAAGGGAACCCUUGGGCUUGUGAUGAAAAAACAGACUCUGUGGAUAAUCGACAAUAUGCCAACAUUAUACAUGAAAUGUCUUGGUUCUGUAUCAAAAUGAGUCUAGCCUUCAUAAAACCAACUUGCAGACGCUCCUCCUGCUUCAGUUUGAGGGGCUAAUUGAAAUUACUUAAAACGCAGUGAUGUCAUCCCAAGCCUCUAGAACAUGGAGGUAGAAGCGGACGAAGGGGGGGGGGGCGUGCCCCCAGCCUAGCUGGAAUGGGGAGGAAAGAACAGUGAAGUCAGAGGCCUGGGCUUCCAUCCAAGCUAUGCCUCUCUCGUGGUAUAUUCUGGAUGAAACCACAAGUCUCUCUGAGCCUUUCUGUUCUCAUCUGUAAAAUGGGAGCAGCGAUCCCUACCUCGCCAGUCACCGGGAUUCACUGCGCCCGCACGCGGGGGAGUGUUGAGCUCAGAGAAGACACUGUACAGGCAGGAGCUGAGUCUGAAGCGAGGGAAGUUCACAAUAGUGAGUUGUACCAACUCAAACCUCCAAAUUGGAGAGACUGACAGAGGGAGAGGGUGAGAAAGAGAAAUAAGGAGGGAGGAAAUGAGGAAAUAGGAGGAAGGAAUAAGGAAUGAGGAGGGAGAAAUCAGGACCAAAAAAGAGCUAGCCAAUGGAUCCAGGAAAUCCCCAAGAGGGAGAUUUCCUCCAAAAGAAAUAUUCUGCACAGAAAUAAAACCACGUCAGAUGGCACCAGAAACAAUGGUCCACAUUUACUGAAUUCUUACGAAAUUGCCAGACCCUGGACAUUUGUCCUGGAGA